rnacentral:tRNA from 1 species
GUGGGCGUGCCGGAGUGGUUAUCGGGCACUAUUAGAAAUCAUGUGGGUUUUGCCUGCGUAGGUUCGAAUCCUACCGCUCACG